UAAACACCGAUUCUCGUACGAUCAUCGAAGUUAAGCAACGUCGAGCCUUGUCAGUAUCUAGAUGAGUGACCGUUCGAGAAUACCAGUUGCUGUAAG